GGUUUUUAUCUGUUUUCUUUUCCUUUCUCCUCCAUACUUUGUUACUGUGUCUGUUUUAUUGUAAGAAUUAAUUCCUCCCCUAUUUUCAAUCUUUGGCUUGAUCUUCUUUGUUUUCCAUGGUUUAUCACCGACUCUCUCAUCGCCUCUAUUUUUUCUCGCUACUUCUUCUUUCUAUCACUGUUUCGUGCACCUGAUAUUCACGUCUAAACCCUAUUUUGCUCGAAUAUGACGAUGUUUAGAGUGACUUGCCAGCUGAUCAUAAAUGUCAAUCGACCCCCUUAAGGACUAUCAGUUUUUAAUUUGUGGGCAGAAGGAACUGAAGCUUUGUGAAAUAAAAUGCAGGAGUAUAAGAAAUAGACACUUUAGCAAUGUGAAUUUGAUAUUACUUUCCUUUCCUGCUAUUCCCAUUAUGAUUUUCAUU